rnacentral:rRNA from 1 species
UUGAACGCUGGCGGCAGGCCUAACACAUGCAAGUCGAGCGGAUGAAGGGAGCUUGCUCCUGGAUUCAGCGGCGGACGGGUGAGUAAUGCCUAGGAAUCUGCCUGGUAGUGGGGGAUAACGUCCGGAAACGGGCGCUAAUACCGCAUACGUCCUGAGGGAGAAAGUGGGGGAUCUUCGGACCUCACGCUAUCAGAUGAGCCUAGGUCGGAUUAGCUAGUUGGUGGGGUAAAGGCCUACCAAGGCGACGAUCCGUAACUGGUCUGAGAGGAUGAUCAGUCACACUGGAACUGAGACACGGUCCAGACUCCUACGGGAGGCAGCAGUGGGGAAUAUUGGACAAUAGGCGAAAGCCUGAUCCAGCCAUGCCGCGUGUGUGAAGAAGGUCUUCGGAUUGUAAAGCACUUUAAGUUGGGAGGAAGGGCAGUAAGUUAAUACCUUGCUGUUUUGACGUUACCAACAGAAUAAGCACCGGCUAACUUCGUG